UGCCGGCGGUCCCUGCCGAAGGAGGGAAGAUGGCGCUUGAUGGGCCAGAGCAGAUGGAACUGGAAGAGGGGAAGGCAGGCAGUGGACUCCGUCAAUAUUAUCUGUCCAAGAUUGAAGAACUCCAGUUGAUUGUGAAUGACAAGAGUCAGAACCUCCGGAGACUGCAGGCCCAGAGGAAUGAGCUCAAUGCAAAAGUUCGUCUGUUGCGGGAGGAACUGCAGCUGCUGCAGGAACAGGGCUCCUACGUUGGAGAAGUCGUGAGGGCCAUGGAUAAGAAAAAAGUGUUGGUCAAGGUCCAUCCUGAGGGCAAAUUUGUUGUUGAUGUGGACAAGAACAUUGAUAUCAAUGAUGUGAGUGUGGCAGGUAAUAUUGUGGGCGGGGGAGCAGCACCACCACCCUACAUCCUGAG
rnacentral:lncRNA from 1 species